UACGUAGGGGGCUAGCGUUGUCCGGAAUCAUUGGGCGUAAAGCGCGCGUAGGCGGCCAGAUAAGUCCGGUGUGAAAGUCACAGGCUCAACCUGUGAAUGCCGCUGGAAACUGCCUGGCUUGAGUCCGGAAGGGGCGAGUGGAAUUCCUGGUGUAGCGGUGAAAUGCGCAGAUAUCUGGAGGAACACCGGUGGCGAAGGCGGCAUCCUGGACCGACACUGACGCUGAGGAGCGAAAGCCAGGGGAGCAAAGCGGGG
rnacentral:rRNA from 1 species